rnacentral:rRNA from 1 species
CCUUAGCCUCAGGUGAACGAGUGAAACGUGGUCAAGGAACUCGGCAUAAUGAUCCCGUAACUUCGGAAGAAGGGAUGCCUUUUCAGGUUGCCAGACUUGCUCUGGUUGCUCGAAGAGGCCGCAGAGAAUCGACUCAAGCGACUGUUUAGCAAAAACACAGGUGCGUGCCAAGCCGCAUAAGGCGCCGUAUACGCACUGACUCCUGCCCGGUGCCGGAAGGUUAAGGGGAGAGGUUAGCCGCAAGGCGAAGCUUUGAUCCGAAGCCCCGGUAAACGGCGGCCGUAACAAUAACGGUCCUAAGGUAGCGAAAUUCCUUGUCGGGUAAGUUCCGACCUGCACGAAUGGAGUAACGACUUGGGUACUGUCUCGACCACGUGCUCGGCGAAAUAGCAGUCUCGGUGAGGAUUCCGAGUCCCCGCGACAGGACAAAAAGACCCCAUGCACCUUUACUGCAGCUUGUUAUUGACGAUUGCAUAAGACUGUGUAGCAUAGGUGGGAGCCGUUGAGACGGGGGCGCUAGCUCUCGUGGAGGCAACAGUGAAAUACCACCCUGUGUUCUGUGAUCGUCUCACCGCGGUAGGCAAACCCUACCCGGGACCGUGACAGGUGGGCAGUUUGACUGGGGCGGUCGCCUCCGAAAGAGUAACGGAGGCGCGCGAAGGUUGGCUCAGCGCGGUCGGUAAUCGCGCCUAUAGAGUGUAACGGCAGAGGCCAGCCUGACGGUGAGACCGACGGGUCGAACCGAGACGAAAGUCGGCCGUAGUGAUCCGGUAGACCGGUGUGGAUCGGCUAUCGCGCAACGGAUAAAAGGUACGCUGGGGAUAACAGGCUUAUCGCGCCCGAGAGUUCACAUCGACGGCGCGGUUUGGCACCUCGAUGUCGGCUUGUCACAUCCUGGGGCUGGAGAAGGUCCCAAGGGUCCGGCUGUUCGCCGGUUAAAGUGGCACAUGAGCUGGGUUCAGAACGUCGUGAGACAGUUCGGUCUGUAUCCGUCGUGGGCGUUGGAGGGUUGAGGGGUGCGAACUCUAGUACGAGAGGACCGAGUUGGACGAUCCGCUCGUGUCCCGGCUGUGGCGCCAGCUGCAACGCCGGGUAGCGAUGAUCGGUGGCGAUAACCGCUGAAAGCAUCUAAGUGGGAAGCGUCCCCCAAGAUGAACCCUCCCUGGGAACUUGAUUCCCCUAAAGGGCCGGAGGAGACUACUCCGUCGAUAGGCAACAAGUGGAAGUAGCGCAAGCUAUUACGAGCUCAGUUGUCCUAAUCGCCCGUGCGGCUUGACUCC